rnacentral:misc_RNA from 1 species
AAGUCGUAACAAGGUUUCCGUAGGUGAACCUGCGGAAGGAUCAUCAAAAGAGGGGUGCGCAUGCUCUGGGCCGCAAGGCCCUCGGCGCCACCACGACACACUGUGUUGCAGUGAGAUGAGUGCGGCGCGCGCAUGUUGCGCCGCACGCGUUUAUUAGCACGCCAUACGUGCAAAUGGAACCAGCAACAACAGCAACAACACAACAAACACAACUGUUAGCAACGGAUCACUUGGUUCUC